GAUGUCCAGCUGCUCCUGUCAACACCUUUUUAUAGUGUGUAAUUCAUCGACACACUGGCAGCUGAGACCCCUCUGAUGGACUUAAAACCUGCGUCCGCCCUGGGGAGACUGCACCCCAAGCAAAAGUGUGGCUAAUCAGGGGGAACUCCCCUUCAAAAAGGGAACGCGCGGGGGCAGAUUGAGCCCAAGCCCUCCCCCACCUCAGCCCCUUUCCCCGGCAGACCCCACGCCGAAAAGCUGGCGCCCACCUUCGGGCGGGAUAGCCCUUUAGGGACCGGCCACCGUUAACGUUUACGCCCGGAAGCCCCUCCACUGGCCCCGAGAAGACCGGGGUUUCCGCGGCCGCUCGACGAGACGCCGAUUGUCGUCCCCCUCGGCGCUCAGUCGUCCCAGAGUGGGGUCAGGAGGGAUCCCCACGUCCUACACCGUGAUGGAUACGGGGGCCUGCCGCCCUGUUAGGGACCCAGGGAACAUCAGGGGGAGACAUUUGUAUAAGUGACCAAUAUGGAAAAUUCAUGAAAAACGCCGCGAUCAUGAGUAAUAUCUGCUUGACUGAUGUGAAGAAAAUUAAACCAUUAAAUUAAGACAAAGACGGGAAGAAAUUAUUGCGGGUGUUCCGGAUUCAAGGCUGAAAUAAAAGCAGAAGAAUGACAGAGGGAGGAUGAGGAGGGAAGGAAUGCUGUGUAAGAGUCUGUAUCACAGGCAGGACUGCAGCGUGGCAUAGAGGCGGUUUGAAAAAUGAGCCAGUGAUGCUGGGACUGGCCAGCAGCGGUAACUGGCACCUCCACUGCGAGCCUACAAACUAUUACAGUCACUCUGUGGAGGAUUCACCCCUGAGAGCUGGGUUCAUGCUGGCAGUAAUGACUUUGAAAGCUCAGUGUGUAACUGGUUAGACAAAUAAAAACCUAUUCGGUUAAAUCGCAUGAGCGGUUUCCCGCAAUUAAGGACGUCAUCUCAUGCAUCACCCGGAGACAAGUUCAGGAAAGAAGGCAGAUCCGGUGUUUUUUUUGCCUUUUUUUUUUUUGCGGGUGAGCAGUGUAAUUGCAUCAUUAGCAAGGGGUCUCAUGGGUGAAUCAAUUGGAUACCCUGAAAUUAAAUUUGAUCAGGCUUGGCUUUUUAGGGGAAACUGUCGGUUUCAGCGAUGUAGCUAAUGAUACUGUGUC